rnacentral:misc_RNA from 1 species
GAUGAAGAACGUAGCGAAAUGCGAUAAGUAAUGUGAAUUGCAGAAUUCAGUGAAUCAUCGAAUCUUUGAACGCACAUUGCGCCCCCUGGUAUUCCGGGGGGCAUGCCUGUUCGAGCGUCAUUUCAACCCUCAAGCUCUGCUUGGUAUUGGGCGUCGCCGGGGAGUCUCCCCGGCGUGCCUCAAAGCCAUCGGCGGUGGUGCCUUUCUCUAAGCGUGGUAGAAUUUUUAUUCGCUUCUGAGAUGGGCUUCGCCUGCCGGACAAACCGGGCCCUCGCGGCCCACCUUCUCAGGUUGACCUCGGAUCAGGUAGGGAUACCCGCUGAACUUAAGCAUAUCAAUAAGCGGAGGA